AAAUCGCCGAUUUCCGACCUUUCUCUUUGCCCCAACACGAAUACCCUUUCUUCUCUAGCGAUUCUUUCUGUCCGAUCGCCGGCCGCCGUGAGUUCACCGCCGAUGGAGGUCUUCUCCACCACCGUCCCUCACCUCCGCCACUCGAUCUUCUCCACAAAUUUGUCGAUCCUUUCUCCCUCAUCGUCGUGCCCUAGAUUUGCCGAUGCGGAGUCUCGCGCGACCUCCAUCUUCCCCGAUCCAUCUCCACUGCCGACGCCGCUUGAUGUCGUGCUGCCUACGGACACCGCCCGAUCGCAUCAGCGUUGUCGUCGCCUGCGUAGGAAGAUCUUCGACAGGGGGAAACCGAGCCCUAGCAUCGAACUUCGCUCGCGAUCAACCCACUGCCGGACAAGCCUUCUUCGCUGAUCCUAUCUUUUGUCGAUCCCCUCCCGAGCCUUGCCUCCUCCACAGACCAGACCCACCUCUAGAUUUUUGUUGCAUCGCCGAACAACAGAUUCUAGCCGAGAAGGUAUGGUUGCAUCCUUACCUUUUUCCUCCUCUCUGUUCUGUUCGACUGCCACCACCAGGGGUGAUCAAUCUAGGUAAGUUCGUUUGGAAUCUUGAAGAUUCAUUGAUGAUGGUCUAAUUAGUUUCCUUUGUGAUGUUCUUCCUAAUGCUGGAUUCGUGGGAGGCAUUGGAACAGCUCCUUGAUGGAUUUCCUCUGGGCAGAUUACUGCCCUCUGCAUUCUUGUGGCCGAGUAAGGUUUUGGUUGAAGAUUUGAGGUACUAUUGAGCUUUGGUCAGUUUGGUGAUCCACAGUUUGGCAUUCCAGUCUCGGCAGUGAACCCCUUUGAUCUUGUUGACCGGUGGGUAUCUUGGGACUUUGGUUGAGACGAACGUCUCAACGCAAGUUGGUUUAUUUGACACGGUCGACAGAUAAAGGCGGGU